rnacentral:rRNA from 1 species
AUUUAAAUACCUUAACGAGGAACAAUUAGAGGGCAAGUCUGGUGCCAGCAGCCGCGGUAAUUCCAGCUCUGAUAGUAUAUAUUAAAGUUGUUGCAGUUAAAAAGCUCGUAGUUGAAACUUGGGUGCGUAGGGGCGGUCUCUUUUAGAGUACUACCCUGAAACAUCUUUCUUUGGUGUAAACUCUUUAUUCACUUAAGGAGUGUAAACCAAACAUUUACUUUGAAAAAAUUAGAGUGUUCAAAGCAGGCCUUUGCUCGAAUAUAUUAGCAUGGAAUAAUAGAAUAGGACGUAUGGUUCUAUUUUGUUGGUUUCUAGGACCGUCGUAAUGAUUAAUAGGGACGGUCGGGGGCAUCAGUAUUCAGUUGUCAGAGGUGAAAUUCUUGGAUUUACUGAAGACUAACUACUGCGAAAGCAUUUGCCAAGGACGUUUUCAUUAAUCAAGAACGAAAGUUAGGGGAUCGAAGACGAUCAGAUACCGUCGUAGUCUUAGCCGUAAACUAUGCCGACUAGGGAUCGGAGGGCGUUAUAAUAACCUCUCCGGCACCUUACGAGAAAUCAAGUUUUUGGGUUCUGGGGGGAGUAUGGUUGCAAGGCUGAAACUUAAAGGAAUUGACGGAAGGGCACCACCAGGAGUGGAGCCUGCGGCUUAAUUUGACCCAACACGGGGAAACUCACCAGGUCCAGACACAAUAAGGAUUGACAGAUUGAGAGCUCUUUCAUGAUUUUGUGGGUGGUGGUGCAUGGCCGUUCUUAGUUGGUGGAGUGAUUUGUCUGCUUAAUUGCGAUAACGAACGAGACCUUAACCUGCUAAAUAGCUGUAACAAUAGAUUAUUGUUUUGACAGCUUCUUAGAGGGACUAUCGAUUUUCAAGUCGAUGGAAGUUUGAGGCAAUAACAGGACUGUGAUGCCCUUAGACGUUCUGGGCCGCACGCGCGCUACACUGACGGAGCCAGCGAGUCUAACCUGUGCCGAGAGGUAUGGGUAAUCUUGUGAAACUCCGUCGUGCUGGGGAUAGAGCAUUGCAAUUAUUGCUCUUCAACGAGGAAUUCCUAGUAAGCGCAAGUCAUCAGCUUGCGUUGAUUACGUCCCUGCCCUUUGUACACACCGCCCGUCGCUACUACCGAUUGAAUGGCUUAGUGAGGCUCCCGGAUUGAUUAAUUGGAGAGGGCAACUUUUCUGAUUGAACGAGAAGCUAGU